AACGAACGCUGGCGGCAUGCCUAACACAUGCAAGUCGAACGAGACCUUCGGGUCUAGUGGCGCACGGGUGCGUAACGCGUGGGAACCUGCACUUAGGUUCGGAAUAACUCCCCGACAGGGGUGCUAAUACCGGAUAAUGUCUUCGGACCAAAGAUUUAUCGCCUUUGGAUGGGCCCGCGUUGGAUUAGCUAGUUGGUAGGGUAAAAGCCUACCAAGGCGACGAUCCAUAGCUGGUUUGAGAGGAUGAUCAGCCACACUGGGACUGAGACACGGCCCAGACUCCUACGGGAGGCAGCAGUGGGGAAUAGUGGACAAUGGGCGAAAGCCUGAUCCAGCAAGGCCGCGUGAGUGAUGAAGGCCUUAGGGUUGUAAAGCUCUUUUACCCGGGAUGAUAAUGACAGUACCGGGAGAAUAAGCUCCGGCUAACUCCGUG
rnacentral:rRNA from 1 species